rnacentral:tRNA from 1 species
UGGGUUGUGGCUCAGUGGUAGAGCGCUAGCCUAGCUUGUAUGAGGCACUGGGUUUGAUUCUCAGCACCCCAU